AGGCCAAGUUUAAGUUUGAAGCGGAUCAGUAUCACCAACAGCUGGAGGAGAACACACCGAGCAGCACACACGCAUCACUGUGCUUGGUAGGUUGGUAAAUUUGAGGGUUCAGUUGUUCAUGAACUGCAGAGCCAAGCUGUCAGAGAUGCCCCUGAAGAGGGAUACUUCCAGCUGAAGGCUAGCCCGGGUGCCUGUAUCCUGAGGUUGCGUAAGGGACGUUCUGAAGACAUUUAUCAGAUACAGGCAUGAGUAGGGCUUUAUCUUAGGAGAAAGAAGCCCAUUGUGAGCAUCGAGCUUAAUCUACCAGAUAGAAACCGCUAAAGUGUUAAUAGCUGUUAAAGUUUAUUGUGACUGCCAUGUAUAAUAUGCUCCCUCUAAGUGGGGUGAGCGGUGGAUCCAAAUGGAA